UCUCUCUAUCAAAGAUUUUCUCUAGCUAACUAAAAAUUCUCUCUCUAAGCUUAUAAGUUCAAUUAUCCAAACACUUUGACCAAUUAUAAGCCCUUCAAAAUAAGCUUAGUCAAACACCCUCUACAAUAACUCCUUUCUAAAUUCACUCAUCGCGAUUUUGCCCCUGGUCUUCGAAUUAAAAAAUCAAAUAACUCGAAUUGGCAGCUCACUUUUUCAAUUUCAAAAGAAUUGGCGACGACGAACUCGCGGCGCAUCCUUGAGCAUGGGUUCAAUUGAGCUGGGGGGAUUCGCAUAAGCACUGGCUAGAGCUUCACCGGAGCUAAUCGCGGUACUGCCCGGUAGAAUAUCGCAGCCUACCAAAAAGGUCGCCAAUGAAAGAAGAAAGAGUAAUUUGUAUUGGAAUUUAAUUCCCCCCGGUCUGCUUAUUGCGCAGGAAUUGAGCAGGGUAAGGACACGGCUGUCAUUACAAAAAAUUAAAAAGGUAGUUUUGUCAUUUCCUGCUUUUGUCUAAGCCAUGCUUACCAAACACGCUGCUAAUUGUUUCAUGCGUAUUAACUUAUAUCUGGAUAUGUAGAUAUGUAGAUAUGUAGAUAUUAAUUAUAUCUGGAUAUUUAAUCCAAUUGUUGUGAGUUUAAUUAACUAAAUUUAUUGUUUGAUAGCUGA